rnacentral:rRNA from 1 species
UGGCUACAGGACGAACGCUGGCGGCGCGCUUAAUACAUGCAAGUCGAACGAGAAGCCAGAGCUUGCUCUGGUGGAAAGUGGCGAACGGGUGAGUAACACGUGAGAAACCUGCCCCAAAGAUUGGGAUAAGCCUUGGAAACGAGGUCUAAUACCAAAUACCUUCCUUUUAACACAUGUUAAAAGAGAAAUGCUCCGGCGCUUUGGGAUGGUCUCGCGAUCUAUCAGCUUGUUGGUGAGGUAACGGCUCACCAAGGCAUCGACGGAUAGCUGGUCUGAGAGGAUGUCCAGCCACAUUGGAACUGAGACACGGUCCAAACUCCUACGGGAGGCAGCAGUAGGGAAUCUUGCACAAUGAGGGAAACCUUGAUGCAGCGACGCCGCGUGCGGGACGAAGGCCCUAGGGUUGUAAACCGCUUUCAGUAGGGACGAAAGUGACGGUACCUACAGAAGAAGCCCCGGCCAACUAUGUG